AUACGGAGGAUGCGAGCGUUAUCCGGAUUUAUUGGGUUUAAAGGGAGCGUAGGCGGGAGCUUAAGUCAGCGGUUAAAUGGUGCGGCUCAACCGUGCCCUGCCGUUGAAACUGGGUUUCUUGAGAGUGCAAGAGGCGGAUGGAAUUUAUGGUGUAGCGGUGAAAUGCUUAGAUAUCAUGAAGAACUCCGAUUGCGAAGGCAGUCCGCUGGGGCACGUCUGACGCUGAUGCUCGAAGGUGCGGGAAUCAAACAGGAUUAGAUACCCUGGUAGUCCACGCAGUAAACGAUGAUGACUAACCGUCGGCGAUACACAGUCGGUGGCCAAGCGAAAGCGAUAAGUCAUCCACCUGGGGAGUACGUUCGCAAGAAUGAAACUCAAAUGAAUUGACGGGG
rnacentral:rRNA from 1 species